AGGAUAAACGCUGGCGGCGUGCCUAACACAUGCAAGUCGAACGUCUCUUCUUUCGGGAAGAGGAGUGGCGGACGGGUGAGGAACACGUGGGAACCUGCCCUUUAGUGAGGAAUACCGGCGAGAAAUCGCCGACAAGACCGCAUAGCCCUCUUUGAUGAGAGUCAAAGAAGGAAAGCUUCGCAAGAGGCGCUAGAGGAGGGGCCUGCGUCCGAUUAGCUAGUUGGUGGGGUAAGAGCCUACCAAGGCGUCGAUCGGUAGCUGGUCUGAGAGGACGAUCAGCCACACUGGGAUUGAGAACGGCCCAGACUCCUACGGGGGCAGCAGUGAGGAAUUUUCGGCAAUGGGGGCAACCCUGAACGAGCAACGCCGCGUGCAGGAAGAAGGUUUUCGGAUCGUAAACUGCUUUUCUCGGGGAAGAGAACGGACGGUACCCGAGGAAUCAGCCCCGGCUAACUACGUGCCAGCAGCCGC
rnacentral:rRNA from 1 species